GCUGCGGGUUCUCGUACUCUUUCCAAGUGUGAUAAGCUUGCUAAAGAAGACUUCAACCUUUGUGCGUGUGUGACUGCAACUAUCGAUUUAAGUGAUCACCAGCUGCUUGUUGCCCUCCUGAGUGGACAAAGUCUACCUACAGAACCACUUGCAAGCCCUGGGAUUCAGCUUUGUCCCGCUGUUUCCAAAUUUGAGGUGCUCAAAUAUUGACUCCGAGGACCUUCCAUGCCAGAACCACCCAAGGUGAGAAACCUGGAAGUGAACCUGAAGAGGCGAAGCUGCAGAACGCCAGCAAACAGAUCGUGCAGAAUGCCAUCCUGCGCGCUGUGCAGCAGGUCUCCCAGGAGAGUCGGCGGAGGGAAGCCAGAGCCAGCGGCACCCAGGGCAGCCCCCAGCGGGGCGUGGGGGAGUUAACCAAGAAGCAUGAGAAGAAGUAACACCGUGGAUUCGGCCCUUGUCACACUGCUUGGUCUUCAGCCUUCCUCUUAGUAUAGGAUGUGUCGCCAAAAUGUUGCCAGUAAAGCAAACCAAAGUGUCAUAGGCACCUAGCAGUAGGAUGAACUUGCACGAGCCCCUCGUUGGGAUGCACUGUUCUGACAAAAGUGCAUUAGACGAUUCUGUUUAAACACAGUGCCUCGGAAACAUAGUCGGGCCAAACACGACACUGUAAUUGCAAAAGUAGUUUUGCAGCACAAUUCCUUUUUAAAAUCUUUUUUUUUUAAAUGAUUCUGUCUUGUUUAUUUAAUUUUGCCUUUUGUGCAUUUUUUCUGUGAAUUUAACCAGCAGUCCUUUUUUGCUGAAACAUUGAGUGCAGUACUGAGAUCUGUAUAAUAUUUUAUAAAGACAUGCUGGAAGGGUGAAGGAAUAUUGUUUGAGUGCCCCUCAAAUAUGGAAUUGAAGGUUUUAAUAAAGUGGGUUCAGGUCCAAGAUCAAAUUAAGCAAAAAGCAAAUCCUAAGACCAAGUCCCUCAGGAUCUUAACAAGGUGUGUAUUUAUAUUACUUUUUUAAAAAGGAGGAAUUUCGCUUUUCCUGUAUUCAGUCUGAAAUCUCUCAGUUGUUUGAUACUCGGUAUUUACUCUCUGUGAAGAAAUCCUUUGGAAAUAUUACGGAUUACUUUUUCCAUCUGAAGAUGAAAAUAAGACAGGUACAUCUAUAUGCAUGAGUUGUCAAUGUUAGCAACCCCUUGAAGAGCAGCAAGAAUUGUAGGUUGCAUCCUGGAGAUACAGUAGUGCCUGAUGAUGGUAUAUGGUGCCUUUGGGAGGAGCUCUUGGAUCUUAUAAAUGCUGUGGGGCCUUCAGGCUAUGCAUCUGCACUAGUACCUUGCUAAUAGGAAAUUUCCUUGUCCCACCCACGAAUUACAUUUUUCUUGAGAUUAUGAAAAUCAUAUGUAUUGGGAAUGAAUGUUGCUUCAAAUGGGAAAAUCAUUCUCUCAACUUUCUGGAACAGCAAAAGACAGUGGGAACAGUCGAGCAACCGUGUUGUGAAUGCAGUUAUGGAAGCGUGUGUGUGAGUGAAUAAAGCCAUCUCCGCAGCAGAAUGACUUCUGCUUCACCCCCAUGGGGGUAACACAUAGUUUUCUAUGUCCUUAGCAUCCCAUUUCCUGGGCUUUGCAGCAGUUAUUGAGUUGGAGCUAUUGGGAACAGAGGGAGAAUUUGGCCUUUGUUAGAGAUCUUUUGGCUUCGGGGUGUCAGUGUCUACAUUUGAUAGUUUUUUUAAAAAGCAAAGUAUCAGCAUCUAAAGGGUGACAGAUAUGAAGAUCUGCUUCUAAAAUUCCAACAUGUUACACUUUCCAGAAGGGAUAUUAUUGAGAAAUGGAUGAACACAGUCUCUUAUUAGUUCUCUUAGACCAUCUCACACCAUGCACAGAUGGAAUAAGUUCACAGGGAGGAUGUCUGUGGGAGGGAGCAGAGGGGUAAACAUUUAAAUGUGGUUUAUUCAUAAUUUUCUCUGAAUAGUUCUCAUGACAAUUGAAGAAUGAGUUCAAGGUGACCUGAAGUCAUAUAACUGAGUAGAACUAUACCGCAUAGUUAAUAGGAAUAAAAUAUUAGGGGAAAUUAUUCAAGAGUAUACGCACACAGACACACACACACACACACACACACACACAAAUAAACCCACUGCUUGUAGUUUGCAAAUGAUCUGACACUCUGUCUGCUAGGAUAUCUGAGUAGAAUCAGCCUUGGACUUGGUUGUCAUAUGGCAGAAACACAUAAACACACUCUCUUUCCUCUCUGGUGUGUCUGUGUUAAUACCUUGGGGAUCUUUGAGAAUAUCUGAUUAACCUCUGUAUCUAAAUGUUGUUUAUAAAUAAAACAUAUC
rnacentral:lncRNA from 1 species